GACGAACGCUGGCGGCGUGCCUAAUACAUGCAAGUCGAGCGCAGGAAACCGUCUGAACCCUUCGGGGGGACGACGGCGGAAUGAGCGGCGGACGGGUGAGUAACACGUAAAGAACCUGCCCACGGGUCUGGGAUAACCACGAGAAAUCGGGGCUAAUACCGGACGGGUCAUCGGACCGCAUGGUCCGAGGAUGAAAGGCGCUCCGGCGUCGCCCGUGGAUGGCUUUGCGGUGCAUUAGCUAGUUGGUGGGGUAACGGCCCACCAAGGCGACGAUGCAUAGCCGACCUGAGAGGGUGAUCGGCAACACUGGGACUGAGACACGGCCCAGACUCCUACGGGAGGCAGCAGUAGGGAAUCUUCCACAAUGGACGAAAGUCUGAUGGAGCAACGCCGCGUGAACGAUGAAGGCCCUCGGGUCGUAAAGUUCUGUUGUAAGGGAAGAACAAGUGCCGCAGGCAAUGGCGGCACCUUGACGGUACCUUGCGAGAAAGCCACGGCUAACUACGUGCCAGCAGCCGCGGUAAUAC
rnacentral:rRNA from 1 species